ACCCGCGUUGGAUUAGCCAGUUGGCAGGGUAACGGCCUACCAAAGCGACGAUCCAUAGCCGGCCUGAGAGGGUGGACGGCCACAUUGGGACUGAGACACGGCCCAGACUCCUACGGGAGGCAGCAGUGGGGAAUAUUGCACAAUGGGGGGAACCCUGAUGCAGCGACGCCGCGUGAGCGAAGAAGUAUUUCGGUAUGUAAAGCUCUAUCAGCAGGGAAGAAAAUGACGGUACCUGACUAAGAAGCCCCGGCUAACUACGUGCCAGCAGCCGCGGUAAUACGUAGGGGGCAAGCGUUAUCCGGAUUUACUGGGUGUAAAGGGAGCGUAGACGGCCAGGCAAGUCUGAUGUGAAAGGCAGGGGCUCAACCCCUGGACUGCAUUGGAAACUGUCAGGCUGGAGUGCCGGAGAGGUAAGCGGAAUUCCUAGUGUAGCGGUGAAAUGCGUAGAUAUUAGG
rnacentral:rRNA from 1 species